CUCCUUCACACCAGUACGCCGCUCCUGCAACGUGAGGGCAGGAAAAAAUAAGUCACAGGAGUUGGCGAUGGAGUACAAACAACCUUAAGGGCCGGUGUCCCUAUCCAGGCUGGGGCCCCAGAAAGACUUCUCCCACUGGCCGAAGCAGCCUCCCCAUCCUCUCCAACCCCCAACCCUCCGCCCUCGAGGGAAACUGCUCUACUUCCUCCCCUUCUUUAAAGGAUGUGCCAAAAUAAGCAGCUAUGGGCCAGACGAUGAACACCUUUUCCACUGGUUGAUAGCAGUGGCUCACACAGCUCUGAAGAACCCUAAGAAGCAGCCUGGAGGGGAACGCUCAGUAGAACCACCAUGGAGACCGUUAAGAUAGCCUUACUCAUCUUCCUUCUAACCUCGCUCCAGCUCCUCACAACAGAUGCUUCUUGUGUUACCACACAAAAAUCAGCAGAACAUUCAACAACAGGCAAACCAUCAGAAACUACGACACCCGUCACGACUGUUCCUCUUUCCACUGUAAAGAACCUUGGUGUAAAUGUUACUGCAACCAGCGUUACUGCAACCAGUGUGACCCCAACCAGUGUGACCCCAACCAGUGUGACCCCAACCAAGAAUUCUACCUGGAAUUCUACCACAGCGCUUGCUACAUCAACAGUAACAGAAAAUACAAAAAUGUCAUCCUCACCCCAAGUCCCAGUGAAUUCCGCAUCUCCAUAUACUAAGGAUAAUGGAACACAAGGGACCCAGGCCCCAACAACUGUUACCAAGAGUGACUCACUAAACAAAACCACCAUUUCUGACCUUACCAAAAAGCUCCCAGGUUCAGAGGCUGAAAAUACAGAUCAAGAUAGAGUCAAGGACAAUAAGAAUACGGAUCAUGUCGAUAAGAACCUGCUGUGGAUUCUUUUGCCAGUCCUGGCACUUGUGGGGGCUGCUGUCGUGGCCCUUCUGAAAAGUAAAUGCAUGAAGGACCACGAUCACACAGAGAUAACUGAUAAUGGAACAGAAAAUGCCUCUUUCCAGAGCAGGCCGGACAACGCCAAAGACGGUGUCAUGCUUCUCGGGGUGAAGUCUUCAGGCGGUGAAGACAAUGCUGCUGCAAGAUAAAAGGGAGGCCAUCCCAUUUGAAAGGACCAAUGGAUGAGGACGAGCUCUUACAACCAAAAAAUGGUCCAGAUCCCUUCACCUUCAACGAUCUAAACCUUAUGGACUAUCAAAUACAGCAUCACAGAAUCACAAAAGUUACUAAAGUGGGAACAUUUGUAUAUGGUUUGUGAGUAUUGUAGGAUAUGGGGCUCUUAACUGAACACGUGUCUGUUAGAAGGUAUAGCAUGUUUUAUUAUGUAAUUCAUUGUUUUGUGUAUUCCUAUUUUGAUGGUAAUUUAGUCAAGAAGGAAUUGUGUUUUUAAUUUAAUCAAGACCAACAUACAGACAUUUUAGUCAGGAAAACGAUGCUGGAUUCUGAAUUAACAUGAAUAAAUUAACCCAAAUUCUCAUUGUCUGAGUGUAAGAUGAUUGUCUCACCCCUGUAUUCAAGAUACUGGUUUUGAUUUGAUUAAAUCACCCAAACAUGCACAAAAUCCAAAUGUACUGAACCUGAAUUCAACACACAAUUCCUCGAUUGAAACCAGUUAGUGACCAGUACACAUGGUUAACAAGUGUUUGUAUGCUUUAAAUCUGUUUAAAAUAAUUAUUUAGUUUUCAGUGUAAAUGCCAGGAUUGUAAAGAUGAGCUUUUUUACCAGUAUGUUUCCUGCUUUUGAACAAGUUAUUUUGUAUAUUAGCUGUUGCUUGUCAGAAAACUUUUGUCAAAUGUUUCCCAAGGAGGGUUGGGUUUGUUUGAAUCACAGAUGUAUGUUUCCCAAGGUGGGUUGGGUUUGUUUGAAUCACAGAUGUAUGUUUCCCAAGGAGGGUUGGGUUUGAUUAAAUCACAGAUGUAUGUUUCCCAGGGAGGGUUGGGUUUGUUUAAAUCACAGAUGUAUGUUUCCCAAGGAGGGUUGGGUUUGUUUAAAUCACAGAUGUAUGUUUCCCAAGGAGGGUUGGGUUUGAUUAAAUCACAGAUGUAUGUUUCCCAGGGAGGGUUGGGUUUGUUUAAAUCACAGAUGUAUGUUUCCCAAGGAGGGUUGGGUUUGAUUAAAUCACAGAUGUAUGUUUCCCAGGGAGGGUUGGGUUUGUUUAAAUCACAGAUGUAUGUUUCCCAAGGAGGGUUGGGUUUGUUUAAAUCACAGAUGUAUGUUUCCCAAGGAGGGUUGGGUUUGUUUAAAUCACAGAUGUAUGUUUCCCAGGGAGGGUUGGGUUUGUUUAAAUCACAGAUGUAUGUUUCCCAGGGAGGGUUGGGUUUGUUUAAAUCACAGAUGUAUGUUUCCCAGGGAGGGUUGGGUUUGUUUAAAUCACAGAUGUAUGUUUUACAACAUUUGGGGUUAAAGCAAAUAAAACUAAAUGUGUUUAUUUUUUGUAAUGGAGCAAAUCCAUAAGAUUUCCCUCUGGUCAAAGAUUAUUUGAAUUUCUCAAAUACAGAACAGCGCUGUUUUACUGAUCGGCAUUGGUUGAAUAUUUGUUGUUUUGCACCCGUACAUGCUAACAAAACAUUGGCGCCAUUAUACAAUGAAUAAAGUUCAUGUUGAUUUUAGAUGUUGACUACACCUGGCUACACACCAUAUCUGAUUGAUUUGAAUGUGUUGAGUUAUAUAAUGCACCAUUGGUUCUUAACGGUAUGCAAAUAAGCAGGCCUUAUAAGCAUAUCGUAUUCCCAAAUAGUAAACACGUUUUUAAUGGACAGCAAAGUCCAGGCCCAGCUGCUCCCAUCACUCCUGGAGGGUUUAGUUCCAACCAGGUUGUCUUUCUUUGUCGUCAAACUGCACAGAUUAUCAGAUCUCACAAUGAUUUGUCUGAGAAACCAUUUGAAUAGGCUAUAUUAUAACACAGGCUUAGUAAUCUUCUGAGAUGCGCAGCAUCUAGAGUCUACUUGAUUUGCCACCUGUAAAAUGUCUAAUUUAUCAAAAUAAACAACAUGGCUAAA
ensembl:lncRNA